rnacentral:rRNA from 1 species
AUUGAACGCCGGCGGCAUGCCUUACACAUGCAAGUCGAACGGCAGCACGGGAGCAAUCCUGGUGGCGAGUGGCGAACGGGUGAGUAAUAUAUCGGAACGUGCCCGGUCGUGGGGGAUAACGUAGCGAAAGCUACGCUAAUACCGCAUACGAUCUACGGAUGAAAGCGGGGGAUCGCAAGACCUCGCGCGAUUGGAGCGGCCGAUAUCAGAUUAGGUAGUUGGUGAGGUAAAGGCUCACCAAGCCGACGAUCUGUAGCUGGUCUGAGAGGACGACCAGCCACACUGGGACUGAGACACGGCCCAGACUCCUACGGGAGGCAGCAGUGGGGAAUUUUGGACAAUGGGCGCAAGCCUGAUCCAGCAAUGCCGCGUGCAGGAUGAAGGCCUUCGGUU